rnacentral:tRNA from 1 species
CAGAAAAUAGUUUAAUUAAAAUAAUAAUUUUGGGGAUUAUAGAUAAAAAAAUUUUUUUUUUCUGA